AAAACUCGCCAAGCUGCAGGCACAAGUGGGCAUUGGUGGGAAAGGAACCGCUCGUGGAAACAAGAAGGUGGUUCACAGAACAGCCACAGCAAACAAUAAAAGACUGCAGCUCUCCUUAGAAAAGUUAGGGGUAAACAACAUCUCUGGUAUUGAAGAGGUGACCAUGUUUACAACCAAGGAACAGGGAUCCAUUUUAACAACCCUAAAGUUCAGGCAUCCAUGGCAGCAAACACCUUCACCAUUACAGGCCACGCUGAGACGAAGCAGUUGAUAGCCAUGCUUCCCAGCAUCUGAAACCAGCUGGGUGCAGACGGUCUGACUCUUUUAAGCUCUGCCCAGACAGUCUGUGGAUGGAAAGCACCACUUGCUCCUGGAGAGGAGGAGGAGGAUGCAGUUCCAGGUCUGCUGGAGAAUUCUGAUGAGGCUUCUAAGAACAAAGCAAACUGA
rnacentral:lncRNA from 1 species